AUUUUCCUAACGUCAUGCCAGAUAAUAGCAAUUGGUUCCCGUCGCUUCUGUUGAAUUCAUAAUAGGCUAGGAAGUUUGUUCCUCGAGGUAAUAUUGUGGUGAGCCUAUCCUACCUGGUUGCUUGUCCUAACCUUAGCAGCACCUACAUUAUUACCUCGACAUUCCCCUCCCACGGAUUCUGCCCUCGUUGGCAGCAUUGAAGGAACGUAGCCAUGAUAUAGCAGCUACCUGUCCAUCGUCCAGAGAGAGAGUCAGCCAGCCCGUUAUAAUACACACCAGUUCCCAUUGAUCACCCAGCUACCCAACUGAUUUAGGGUAACGGACUUUACCAUGAGAUUGAACACUUAUUUUAUGUACGAUUGGAUUGGUCUUGCAUUAUUUUACAAUUCUUAUUAACUUG